rnacentral:lncRNA from 1 species
GGUAUGUCUAGAUCCUGGGCGAGGUCUAUUAUAAAUUCUGGAUCUUCGGUAUUUAAACGUCACCAUCGAUUUGUUUAUUUAUAGCCGAGCUUAUGGUAACUGACUCAAUAACAAAUCUAAUCAUGUUGGGUCCUGCGGAAGAAAAAAAGUAAUGUACUCAUUAUGUAUUUUCGCUAAAUUAGAAUUAACUCUUCCACUGGAAUCCCAGCUGUAAAUAUCAAUAUUAUCAAGUAAUUACU